AGCUCAGUUGUAGAGCAGAGACUGAAA
rnacentral:tRNA from 2 species